GAUGAACGCUGGCGGCGUGCCUAAUACAUGCAAGUCGAGCGAACGGACGAGAAGCUUGCUUUUCUGAUGUUAGCGGCGGACGGGUGAGUAACACGUGGAUAACCUACCUAUAAGACUGGGAUAACUUCGGGAAACCGGAGCUAAUACCGGAUAAUAUUUUGAACCGCAUGGUUCAAAAGUGAAAGACGGUCUUGCUGUCACUUAUAGAUGGAUCCGCGCUGCAUUAGCUAGUUGGUAAGGUAACGGCUUACCAAGGCAACGAUGCAUAGCCGACCUGAGAGGGUGAACGGCCACACUGGAACUGAGACACGGUACAGACUCCUACGGGAGGCAGAAGUAGGGAAUCUUCCGCAAUGGGCGAAAGCCUGACGGAGCAACGCCGCGUGAGUGAAGAAGGUCUUCGGAUCGUAAAACUCUGUUAUUAGGGAAGAACAUAUGUGUAAGUAACUGUGCACAUCUUGACGGUACCUAAUCAGAAAGCCACGGCUAACUACGUG
rnacentral:rRNA from 1 species